AGCAGAGUGGCGCAGCGGAAGCGUGCUGGGCCCAUAACCCAGAGGUUCGAUGGAUCGAAACCACCUCUGCUA
rnacentral:tRNA from 1 species